rnacentral:lncRNA from 1 species
AGCUGCGUAACGGUUCACACACUGAUGGCGCCUGGAGGUUUGGCGAAAUACUGACAGGAUGCGACGUCAACGGGAGCGCAGGGCCAAGAUACCCUUUAUAUCAAACCGUCUAUCCUGGAGCAGAAAAAUCCUGUCUUCAUUGCUAUAGCUACAGAUUCAGAAAUGAGCAUGUAACAAAUUCAGGCCAAAGAGAGGCAAUGGAAAUCAGAGAAACACUGUUCCUGAAAGCUUCUGUCACUCAAGAAUCCAUGAAACAUUCAUGAACUUCACAUCAGAAGCCAAGCCCAGAAAAUAUGGGUUUAAGGUUUGCCUAUAUGUCCAAUACAAGAGAAAAAAGAACAUUCCACUUCUUUAGAAGGUUCUACUUUGAUCUCCUGAUUUUAAUGCAACUUGUUACACAAGAUGAACCCAAACAUAUUUGACUUUUUAUUUUCAGAAAAGCUUAAUACAUAGUUUUGAAUAUGGAUUGUCCCACAGGAUAAAUGCAUGAAAAAAGUUGGAAAAGAGAAAUUGAAUUACAUCCUAAUUGUAGUGUUUUCUCAGGCAGAUCAAUUUUAGAAAGAGAACAUUGACUUGGAAAACUGAAGAGUAAUUAUUCUAAAACGGUUGUAACAGUUUACUCCUUUUAUGUUUGCAAACUUCCAGGAUUAGUGAGUUGCAUAAAGUCACAUAAUUUAUUGCGUUGGUGCAAAAGUAAUUGUGGUUUUUGCCAUUAACAAAACCGCAAUUACUUUUGCAUCAGCCUAAUAUAAGUGAAUAAAUUAAUAUUAGAACACAGGUCUAAUUAAAAGGUUCUGCUGUGUUGUGUCCUGUGAUAACACAGAAAACAAACAAAUGGAUAAUUACAGAAAAAUUUU